rnacentral:rRNA from 1 species
UGGGGAAUAUUGGACAAUGGGCGCAAGCCUGAUCCAGCCAUACCGCGUGGGUGAAGAAGGCCUUCGGGUUGUAAAGCCCUUUUGUUGGGAAAGAAAUCCAGCUGGUUAAUACCCGGUUGGGAUGACGGUACCCAAAGAAUAAGCACCGGCUAACUUCGUGCCAGCAGCCGCGGUAAUACGAAGGGUGCAAGCGUUACUCGGAAUUACUGGGCGUAAAGCGUGCGUAGGUGGUCGUUUAAGUCUGUUGUGAAAGCCCUGGGCUCAACCUGGGAACUGCAGCGGAAACUGGACGACUAGAGUGUGGUAGAGGGUAGCGGAAUUCCUGGUGUAGCAGUGAAAUGCGUAGAGAUCAGGAGGAACAUCCAUGGCGAAGGCAGCUACCUGGACCAACACUGACACUGAGGCACGAAAGCGUGGGGAGCAAACAGGAUUAGAUACCCUGGUAGUCCACGCCCUAAAACGAUGCGAACUGGAUGUUGGGUGCAAUUUGGCACGCAGUAUCGAAGCUAACGCGUUAAGUUCGCCGCCUGGGGAGUACGGUCGCAAGACUGAAACUUAAAUGAAUUGACGGGGUCAUAGCUGUUUCCGU